rnacentral:rRNA from 1 species
CGAAAUUCCUUGUCGGGUAAGUUCCGACCCGCACGAAAGGCGUAACGAUCUGGGCGCUGUCUCAACAAGAGACUCGGUGAAAUCAUAGUACCUGUGAAGAUGCAGGUUACCCGCGACAGGACGGAAAGACCCCGUGGAGCUUUACUGUAGCUUGAUAUUGAGCACUGGUGGCACAUGUACAGGAUAGGUAGGAGACGAAGAAACCAGGACGCCAGUCUUGGUGGAGUCGCUGUUGGGAUACUACCCUUGUGUCACUGGGGUUCUAACCCGUGGCCCUUAUCGGGUCAGGGAACAGUGUCAGGUGGGCAGUUUGACUGGGGCGGUCGCCUCCCAAAGAGUAACGGAGGCGCCCAAAGGUUCCCUCAGAAUGGUUGGAAAUCAUUCGAAGAGUGUAAAGGCAGAAGGGAGCUUGACUGCGAGACCUACAAGUCGAGCAGGGACGAAAGUCGGGCUUAGUGAUCCGGCGGUACCGAAUGGAAGGGCCGUCGCUCAACGGAUAAAAGCUACCCCGGGGAUAACAGGCUGAUCUCCCCCAAGAGUUCACAUCGACGGGGAGGUUUGGCACCUCGAUGUCGGCUCAUCGCAUCCUGGGGCUGUAGUCGGUCCCAAGGGUUGGGCUGUUCGCCCAUUAAAGCGGUACGCGAGCUGGGUUCAGAACGUCGUGAGACAGUUCGGUCCCUAUCCGUCGUGGGCGUAGGAAAUUUGAGAGGAGCUGUCCUUAGUACGAGAGGACCGGGAUGGACACACCGCUGGUGUACCAGUUGUUCUGCCAGGAGCAUAGCUGGGUAGCUACGUGUGGACGGGAUAAACGCUGAAAGCAUCUAAGCGUGAAGCCCCCCUCAAGAUGAGAUUUCCCAUUCGAAAGAAGUAAGAUCCCUUGAAGACGACAAGGUAGAUAGGUCAGAAGUGGAAGUGUGGUGACACAUGGAGCGGACUGAUACUAAUCGAUCGAGGACUUAACCAA